rnacentral:rRNA from 1 species
AAUGAACGCUGGCGGCGUGCUUAACACAUGCAAGUCGAACGGUGAAGCAGGAGCUUGCUCUUGUGGAUCAGUGGCGAACGGGUGAGUAACACGUGAGCAACCUGCCCCUGACUCUGGGAUAAGCGCUGGAACCGGCGGCUAAUACUGGAUAUGUGAUGUGACCGCAUGGUCUGCAUCUGGAAAGAAUUUCGGUUGGGGAUGGGCUCGCGGCCUAUCAGCUUGCUGGUGGGGUAAUGGCUCACCAAGGCGGCGACGGGUAGCCGGCCUGAGAGGGUGACCGGCCACACUGGGACUGAGACACGGCCCAGACUCCUACGGGAGGCAGCAGUGGGGAAUAGUGCACAAUGGGCGGAAGCCUGAUGCAGCAACGCCGCGUGAGGGAUGACGGCCUUCGGGUUGUAAACUUCUUUUAGCAGGGAAGAAGCGAAAGUGACGGUACCUGCAGAAAAAGCACCGGCUAACUACGUGCCAGCCGCCGCCGUAA